UACGAAGGGGGGCUAGCGUUGUUCGGAAUCACUGGGCGUAAAGCGCACGUAGGCGGAUCUUUAAGUCAGGGGUGAAAUCCCGAGGCUCAACCUCGGAACUGCCUUUGAUACUGGGGAUCUCGAGUCCGGGAGAGGUGAGUGGAACUGCGAGUGUAGAGGUGAAAUUCGUAGAUAUUCGCAAGAACACCAGUGGCGAAGGCGGCUCACUGGCCCGAUACUGACGCUGAGGCACGAAAGCGUGGGGAGCAAACAGG
rnacentral:rRNA from 1 species